rnacentral:rRNA from 1 species
GACGAACCGUGCGAACGUUGUCCGGAAUUACUGGGCGUAAAGAGCUCGUAGGUGGUUUGUCGCGUUGUUCGUGAAAACCGGGGGCUUAACCUUCGGCGUGCGGGCGAUACGGGCAGACUGGAGUACUGCAGGGGAGACUGGAAUUCCUGGUGUAGCGGUGGAAUGCGCAGAUAUCAGGAGGAACACCGGUGGCGAAGGCGGGUCUCUGGGCAGUAACUGACGCUGAGGAGCGAAAGCGUGGGGAGCGAACAGG